rnacentral:rRNA from 1 species
UUGAACGCUGGCGGCAUGCCUUACACCUGCAAGUCGAACGGCAGCGGGCCCUUCGGGGUGCCGGCGAGUGGCGAACGGGUGAGUAAUGCAUCGGAACGUACCCGGGAGAGGGGGAUAACCGGCCGAAAGGCUGGCUAAUACCGCAUGAACUCGGAAGAGCAAAGCGGGGGACCUUCGGGCCUCGCGCUCUCGGAGCGGCCGAUGUCCGAUUAGGCUAGUUGGUGGGGUAAAGGCCCACCAAGGCGACGAUCGGUAGCGGGUCUGAGAGGACGAUCCGCCACACUGGGACUGAGACACGGCCCAGACUCCUACGGGAGGCAGCAGUGGGGAAUCUUGGACAAUGGGCGCAAGCCUGAUCCAGCAAUGCCGCGUGGGUGAAGAAGGCCUUCGGGUUGUAAAGCCCUUUCGGCGGGGAAGAAAUCGGUCAGGCGAAUAGUCUGGCCGGAUGACGGUACCCGCAGAAGAAGCACCGGCUAACUACGUG